AUAUAAUGAUAAGGACAUCUUCUCAGCAAAUCCUUAUAUCUUUCCCAUGCAUCAUAAAGAUAUUCGCCAUCUUGUUGAACAAAAGAGGUGAUUUCACUUCACAACUU